rnacentral:rRNA from 1 species
UACGGGGGGGGUAAGCGUUGUUCGGAAUUAUUGGGCGUAAAGGGCGCGUAGGCGGCCUGACAAGUGGAUGGUGAAAUCCCUCGGCUUAACCGAGGAACUGCCAUCCAGACUGUUUGGCUUGAGACCGGGAGAGGUGAGUGGAAUUCCCAGUGUAGCGGUGAAAUGCGUAGAUAUUGGGAGGAACACCAGUGGCGAAGGCGGCUCACUGGACCGGUACUGACGCUGAUGCGCGAAAGCGUGGGGAGCAAACGGGG